rnacentral:rRNA from 1 species
UACGUAGGCAGCGAGCGUUGUUCGGAGUUACUGGGCGUAAAGGGUGUGUAGGCGGUUGCUUAAGUUUGGUGUGAAAUCUCCCGGCUCAACUGGGAGGGUGCGCCGAAUACUGAGUGACUCGAGUGCGGGAGAGGAGAGUGGAAUUCCUGGUGUAGCGGUGAAAUGCGUAGAUAUCAGGAGGAACACCGGUGGUGUAGACGGCUCUCUGGACCGUAACUGACGCUGAGACACGAAAGCGUGGGGAGCAAACAGG